GUUCUGGCUAUAGGCAGCACAUAUACUAAAAAUUGGAACGAUACAAAGAAGAUUAGCAUGGCCCCUGUGGAAGGAUGACACGCAAAUUCGUGAAGGUAUUAGCUCUUCU